rnacentral:rRNA from 1 species
ACGCUCGACACCUACGGGAGGCAGCAGUAGGGAAUUUUCGGCAAUGGGGGGAACCCUGACCGAGCAACGCCGCGUGAAGGAAGAAGGAAUUCGUUCUGUAAACUUCUGUUAUAAAGGAAGAACGGCGGAUAUAGGAAAUGAUAUCCGAGUGACGGUACUUUAUGAGAAAGCCACGGCUAACUACGUGCCUGCAGCCGCGGUAAUCUGAGCGGGCUGGCAAGGC